AAGUUCCUCGGUGAGGAAAGACGCGUUGGUUUUAAACCAACGGCACUUUGGUUUAAAACCAACAGGUGCUUU
rnacentral:tRNA from 1 species